UAGAAUUAUAUAAAUAAUAGCAACAAAGUGCAGCCCUGGCUCCUGCCCUUUUCUAAUGCUCUGUAUUGAAAAUAAAAAUUCAAAAAAUAUGAACAACAUAUUAGGCGACAAUAGGCGUUCUUAGGCUAACUGCAUUAGUCAUUCUAAAGGACCUCCCACUGUUGUUAUUCAAAUGUCCUGAGAAGGAAAACUGAACCUGCCUACCGAUGCGCAACAAUCAGCUGAUCCAAUGGAACAGUAAACAUCGGCACUACAAGCUUGAAGAGACACUAGGAAGCAGGCUAUGCUGGGAUCAGUGCAGAGAACAAGAGCUUCCUGCACGUCAGCUGUCAGGGGAGCUGCUGUUAGCUAUCUGUCAUAUAACAGUCACAGAAGAUAAUCCUGAACAGAAAGUGACAGCGGAUUUCAGUUUGACUGAAGAUUAAACUAAAUUCAAACAUU